AUUGAACGCUGGCGGCAUGCCUUACACAUGCAAGUCGAACGGCAGCGGACCUUCGGGUGCCGGCGAGUGGCGAACGGGUGAGUAAUAUAUCGGAACGUACCUUUCAGUGGGGGAUAACGUAGCGAAAGUUACGCUAAUACCGCAUAUUCUGUGAGCAGGAAAGCAGGGGAUCGCAAGACCUUGCGCUGAUUGAGCGGCCGAUAUCAGAUUAGCUAGUUGGUGAGGUAAAGGCUCACCAAGGCGACGAUCUGUAGCGGGUCUGAGAGGAUGAUCCGCCACACUGGAACUGAGACACGGUCCAGACUCCUACGGGAGGCAGCAGUGGGGAAUUUUGGACAAUGGGCGCAAGCCUGAUCCAGCCAUGCCGCGUGAGUGAUGAAGGCCUUAGGGUUGUAAAGCUCUUUUACCAGGGAUGAUAAUGACAGUACCUGGAGAAUAAGCUCCGGCUAACUCCGUGCCAGCAGCCGCGGUAAAG
rnacentral:rRNA from 1 species